rnacentral:snRNA from 1 species
GGAUGUGAGGGCAAUAUGGCUGUGACGUGUCACCCCAUUGAUUGCCAGAGUUGAUUCAGCAGAUCUGGCUGGCUAGGCAGUUGUCUCCUUCCUCCCUCAGUGCUCCAUGUGCAUUCCUUUUGAAGCUGUACACUCCACCAAAGAGGACAGCCACCCCAGAUAGAGAAGGACCAUUCCUUGGUCAAGAGUAUACAAACAACUGUGCUCUCCCACUAGAACCUCUAAACAAGCUCUCAUUGUAGGUUAUGAUCUGUGAUCUCUAUUUUUACCC